CCCCCCCAGCUCCUCCCCCGCUCCCCCAUGGGCAGAGUUAGACCAGGCUGGGUGGUCACCUUGCUCUCCUGCUUUCCCCCACUGCCUUCACUGGUCCCUCCUGGAAGGUGCUGCCUUCAUAAGUCACUGGCUCAUAAAUCCUUUUAGCCGUGUCUUAGUGGCCUCAGAGAAGGGUUUACCCAAGAAAGUAUAAAUAGGAAGUGGGACAGCACUUUUGAAGACAAAGCACUUCUCUUGUCACACACCUCUCCUGGAGGAGGAGGCUGAAGUGACUUGCAAAGCCCUUGAGUUUGAAUUAGGUCACGCCCAGCCUUACUGGCAAAUCCCUAGCUGUGACAAGUUGCACGUAGUUGGACGUUUCAGAUGUAUUCCGAUUUUCCUCUGAGCUGUAGGUUUUUAAAGAGAAUGUGUAUUAGUCAGGGUUUGGCCAGGAAAGCAGAUGGCACUCUCCAUUUCAGAUGGAAACGGAUUCCAUUCUGGAGAUGAGGCGCUUACAAAACAGUUGGCAGAGUUGGAAGAGCAAACCGGAUACCAGCUCUCAGAUUUCCUCGAACUUCCAGUGCAAGAGAAAGUGCGGUGAGCGGGCGCACCUGUCUGCAAGAACAAGGACACAGCCGUGUGCCUCUGUGUAACCCGCUGUGACGUGUGUAGUGAACGCUUUUGUGUCUCCCUGUCAUCCUGCUGUCUUGCCGGGGCUCUUAGUUCAACUGUGUGUCUGCGAGGCUCCUCUAGUUGGCAUAUGGGAGGCCACCUUGACCACUCUCCGUACUGUUUGGGUUCUACGGUAUGAAGACACUCUAGGAGGUCAGUACUAUAAUAUAUUUUAAAGAUUUUACUUAUUUUUUAGAGAGCGAGCAUGAGCAAGGGAGGUGGGCAGAGGGACAAGCAGACUCCCUGCUGAGUAGGGAGCCCGAUGCAGAGCUCGAUCCCAGGACCCUGGGAUCACAACCUGAGCCGAAGACAGAUUUUUUCACCCACUGAACCCCCACGGGUGCCCCUUUAGUUGCUAGAUCUUAAUCCCAUGCUGCUCCCAGUACUGCUGCUUUCCAAAACCCAUCUACCCUCGGG
rnacentral:lncRNA from 1 species